AUUGAACGCUGGCGGCAGGCCUAACACAUGCAAGUCGAACGAGUGGCGGACGGGUGAGUAAUGUCUGGGAAACUGCCUGAUGGAGGGGGAUAACUACUGGAAACGGUAGCUAAUACCGCAUACCAUCGGAUGUGCCCAGAUGGGAUUAGCUAGUAGGUUGGGUAACGGCUCACCUAGGCGACGAUCCCUAGCUGGUCUGAGAGGAUGACCAGGCCAUCUGGAACUGGGACACGGUCCAGACGCCUACGGGAGGCAGCAGGGGGGAAUAUUGCACAAUGGGAGCAAGCUUGAUGCAACCAUGCCGCGUGUAUGAAGCAGGCCUUCGGGUUGUAAAGUACUUUCAGCGGGGAGGCGUUACCCGCAGAAUAAGCACCGGCUAACUCCGUGCCAGCAGCCGCGGUAAUAC
rnacentral:rRNA from 1 species